CCUACGGGAGGCAGCAGUAGGGAAUCUUCCGCAAUGGACGCAAGUCUGACGGAGCAACGCCGCGUGAGUGAAGAAGGUUUUCGGAUCGUAAAGCUCUGUUGCCAAGGAAGAACGCCUUGGGGAGUCACUGCCCUGAGGGUGACGGUACUUGAGAAGAAAGCCCCGGCUAACUACGUGCCAGCAGCCGCGGUAAUACGUAGGGGGCAAGCGUUGUCCGGAAUUAUUGGGCGUAAAGCGCGCGCAGGCGGCCGCUUAAGUUUGGUGUUUAAGCCCGGGGCUCAACCCCGGAUCGCACCGAAAACUGGGUGGCUUGAGUGCAGGAGAGGAAAGCGGAAUUCCACGUGUAGCGGUGAAAUGCGUAGAGAUGUGGAGGAACACCAGUGGCGAAGGCGGCUUUCUGGACUGUAACUGACGCUGAGGCGCGAAAGCGUGGGGAGCAAACAGGAUUAGAUACCCUGGUAGUCCACGCCGUAAACGAUGAGUGCUAGGUGUUAGGGGUUUCGAUACCCUUGGUGCCGAAGUCAACACAAUAAGCACUCCGCCUGGGGAGUACGC
rnacentral:rRNA from 1 species